UCGAGACAGAAUUUGUAAUUGACAAUUUUAGUUAAGAAUGAAAAAUAUAGUGCUCUUGUUAGAUUCGUCGUAAAGUAUACUACAAAAAUAUCACUUUAAUAAAAAAUGAUUAGAGAUAAAGUAACUAAAAUACUCUGUAACGCAUUGAUAAGCGUUUUUAUUUUACAUUUAUCUUUAACGAAUUGAUAAGCGUUAAAAAUAAAUGUUGCCUCUAAAAAACGAGUGAAGUAUAGAGAUGAGACUCCUUUGAUACAAGUACUUUUAAUAGCGGAAAAUUUGUCAAUUACAACCCAAUAAAGUUUACACUUUGCGAAUUACAACCUUAAAUUUUCAAUUUCGCGAAUUACAACCUCAAACUUAAUCCCGUAUUUUAAAUUACAACUCAAUGUCAUAUUCCGGCGAAAACGAUCGGAUUAUGAUGUCAUUAUUAUAUUUUAUACCUAAUUAAUAAUUCAAAAAAAAAAAGAAAAAAAACCAUAAUAAUAAAUUCAAAAAAAAAAACAAAAAAAGUCCCCAAAAAUCCAUUCACUAUCAUUUCGAUUACAAUUCCCUCCUCCCAUUAACUUCUGCUCAACUCCUCUCACUCCCCAAUAACUCAUCUUUUCAACUUCAAUGCUAAGAUUUUCAUAAAUUUACUCCCUCGAUGCUAUUUCAGUGUGCUAUAUCUCUCUAUAUAUUUUGUCAACAUAAGAGGACACCAUUACAGGUUGAAGGUUGGAAGCUUCAACAAUGAUGACAGAGGAGAGGCACUAUCCUAUUUGAGGGGUGCCAUUGACGUUUGUGCAUAGAAGAUGAACACAUACGCAAUGAAGAAAGAUUAGAAAAUUACAGGGUUGAAAUUAGGCAGAAUGACGUGAAUGUGCACUGUAUUUUGGGGAUUUUUAAAAUAAAAAAUCUGAUUCUGUUUUUUGUUUUUAUUUUGGAAUUAUUAAUUCGGUAUAAAACAUAAUAAUGACAUCAUAAUCCGAUCGUUUUUGCCGGAAUAUGACAUCGGGUUGUAAUUUAAAGUAUGGCAUUAAGUUUGAGGUUGUAAUUCACAAAACUGAAAGUUUAAGGUUGUAAUUCGCAAAGUGUAACCUUUAUUGGGUUGUAAUUGGCAAAUUUUCCUUUAAUAGCACAUCAGCUUGUUGGAUACUAA